GGAUCAACAUGUCGGUCGUGCCUUCGGUACGUUCUGGCAUCGUUGGUUUCUACCUUCUGACAAACCAUGAUGUCAUUAAUUUGGUGUCAUGGGGAAUCAGGACUGUUACUUUGAAAAAUUAGAGUGUUUAAAGCAGGCACACGCUUGAAUACAUUAGCAUGGAAUAAUGAAAUAGGACGUUUGACCCUAUUUUGUUGGUUUCUAGGAUCGACGUAAUGAUUAAUAGGGAUAGUUGGGC
rnacentral:rRNA from 1 species